AGCCUGAUGAUGUGAGGCUGGUGGGAGGAGACAGUCGCUGUGCUGGUGUAGUGGAGCUGUUCAACCAGGGAGAGUGGAGGACUGUGGGAACUGCUGACAGGACCAGGAUGUUUUUGUCUGCAGUAGUGUGUAGACAGAUGGGUUGUGGCUCCACUGUUUCAGUACUACCUGGAAACACCACUAGAGGGUUUGGAGUUACAUGUUAUGGGCCUGAGUCUUCACUGAGGGAGUGUUGGAGAAGUUAUGAUCACCUUCCUGAACUCACAGUGAUCUGCUCAGAUCUCCUGGUCCAGCCUGAUAUCUUCCUGACUGACUCAAUGGGAGGGGUCUUCAGGGGCCACCAGGGGCCCGAGAUGUUCAGGGGCUACAACUUCACCAUAACCUGCUCCACUCAGCCACAGUACCCAGGAGGCUCCUUCCUCCUCACGUUCACCGGCUCCAACAGAACCCAGACCCAGCCAGCUGUCAAUCACUCUGCUGCAUUCCACUUCCCUGCUGCAGAUGACUCCCACCAAGGGAACUACAGCUGUGUUUAUGACAAUUAUGUUUUCUCUCAUAACUUCUCCUCUGAGAGUGAGCUCCUCUCCCUCACCAUCACAGCCUCUCCUCUGCCAGCCUUCAUCAUCAGACACGUUGUAGUGCUGCUGAUCCUACUGACAGCCAUCACCACCUCCUACCUGUACUACAAGCCCACCAGGAGGCAGAAGAGAGUGAACAGGGUGAGCAGCAUGGAUCUUUAUGUCAAUGCCAUGGAGAUGGUCUCUCUGAGCUCCAGAGCUGAAGCUGGACCGGGAGAGGAGAGAGCAGCCCAGGGGACGGAGUAG
rnacentral:lncRNA from 1 species